AGCGAACGCUGGCGGCAGGCUUAACACAUGCAAGUCGAGCGCCCCGCAAGGGGAGCGGCAGACGGGAGAGUAACACGUGGGAACAUACCUUUUGGUUCGGAACAACUGAGGGAAACUUCAGCUAAUACCGGAUAAGCCCUUACGGGGAAAGAUUUAUCGCCGAAAGAUUGGCCCGCGUCUGAUUAGCUAGUUGGUGAGGUAACGGCUCACCAAGGCGACGAUCAGUAGCUGGUCGGAGAGGAUGAUCAGCCUCACUGGGACUGAGACACGGCCCAGACUCCUACGGGAGGCAGCAGUGGGGAAUAUUGGAAAAUGGGGGCAACCCUGAUCCAGCCAUGCCGCGUGAGUGAUGAAGGCCUUAGGGUUGUAAAGCUCUUUUGCCCGGGAAGAUAAUGACGGUACCGGGAGAAUAAGCCCCGGCUAACUUCGUG
rnacentral:rRNA from 1 species